UUUCUUUUUGUUAUUUCAGAUUGGGAACGCUUGUCUAAAAGUUGUGGAGGAAGCUGCACAGACGUGGGAAAAUGUCGACAUCGCUGAGCUUUAUGAAGGAUCCUCAAGUUUACCUACUGCUCUCCUUGCUGGUACUAUUUUGAUUGUUGUUUUUUUUUCUCCUGUGUGUACAUGUUUACUAAUUUGUAUCAAUCCCUGUAAGAAACCUUCAGGUCAGAGGUCAUGCUGAUGUUUCCAUCUUGGAGCAGACAGACAGGUCAAGCUGAUCACUACCUGCUUUGUCAGGAGGAUAGCAGCUCUGAUUUACCCUGGACCCUGGCUGGAGAACACAGGAAGAGAUCUUGAGGUAUGUUGUCAGCACAAACUUUUGAAAGCUCGUUGUUCACAAUAAUGCAAUUAAAUCUAGCAGGUGCAUGUCAGCUCUUUAUUUAAGUGUUCACUUUUCUUUUGUUAGAUCUUUCCCAAGCAGAUGUCCAGCAAUUGCUGCGGCAUUUUCAUGCUGAUGGUGAGUAUUUUCUUUCUGUUACUUGAGUAUAACAUUUCAACAUGCUAAAAAAAAAGUAUAUUUUACUUUUCAGUAUGCUCUCUCCAUCUGCACAUCGUCGGAAAUGACAUUCACUGAAGUAAGUUUUUUCAAAAAGGACAACCAAAAUACCUGAGCCAGUUUUCAGUUCUGUUGAAGAUUAUAUUUUCUUUUCCUUAAGGGGGACAUGCCGGCAAUUCGGCUGUGGUGGUGUCUUCAGUCGAUGGAGAGAUUUUGCACUGACGGGCAUGGACAUAGAUUUGCGUUUUGGACGGAAGAAGCAUCUCUGCUUCUUCAGGGAACUCUCCAGCCAGUAUUCAGAGUUCGAAAGGCAACCACCUCCAAACC
rnacentral:lncRNA from 1 species